rnacentral:rRNA from 1 species
AACGAACGCUGGCGGCAGGCCUAACACAUGCAAGUCGAGCGAGGACUUCGGUUCUAGCGGCGGACGGGUGAGUAACGCGUGGGAAUGUGCCCUUCUCUACGGAAUAGCCCUGGGAAACUGGGAGUAAUACCGUAUACGCCCUUUUGGGGAAAGAUUUAUCGGAGAAGGAUCAGCCCGCGUUGGAUUAGGUAGUUGGUGGGGUAAUGGCCUACCAAGCCGACGAUCCAUAGCUGGUUUGAGAGGAUGAUCAGCCACACUGGGACUGAGACACGGCCCAGACUCCUACGGGAGGCAGCAGUGGGGAAUCUUAGACAAUGGGGGCAACCCUGAUCUAGCCAUGCCGCGUGAGUGAUGAAGGCCUUAGGGUUGCAAAGCUCUUUCAGCUGGGAAGAUAAUGACGGUACCAGCAGAAGAAGCCCCGGCUAACUCCGUG